AGAACGAACGUUAGCGGCGCGCUUAACACAUGCAAGUCGCACGAGAAAGGGCUUCGGCCCCGGUAAAGUGGCGCACGGGUGAGUAACACGUGGGUAAUCUUCCCUCGAGCGGGGGAUAACAUUCCGAAAGGAGUGCUAAUACCGCAUAAGACCACGGCUUCGAAAGGAGCUGAGGUCAAAGCUGGCCUCUAUAUAUAAGCUAGCACUUGAGGACGAGCCCGCGGCCCAUCAGGUAGUUGGUAGGGUAAUGGCCUACCAAGCCGAAGACGGGUAGCUGGUCUGAGAGGAUGAUCAGCCACACUGGAACUGAGACACGGUCCAGACUCCUACGGGAGGCAGCAGUGGGGAAUCUUGCGCAAUGGACGAAAGUCUGACGCAGCGACGCCGCGUGGGUGAUGAAGGCCUUCGGGUUGUAAAACUCUUUCGACGGGGACGAUAAUGACGGUACCCGUAGAAGAAGCUCCGGCUAACUUCGUGCCAGCAGCCGCGGU
rnacentral:rRNA from 1 species